AGGAUGAACGCUAGCGGGAGGCCUAACACAUGCAAGCCGAGCGGUAUUUUUUCUUUAGCUUGCUAAAGAGAAGAGAGAGCGGCGCACGGGUGCGGAACACGUGUGCAACCUGCCUUUAUCUGGGGGAUAGCCUUUCGAAAGGAAGAUUAAUACCCCAUAAUAUAUUGAUUGGCAUCGAUUAAUAUUGAAAACUCCGGUGGAUAAAGAUGGGCACGCGCAAGAUUAGAUAGUUGGUGAGGUAACGGCUCACCAAGUCAAUGAUCUUUAGGGGGCCUGAGAGGGUGAUCCCCCACACUGGUACUGAGACACGGACCAGACUCCUACGGGAGGCAGCAGUGAGGAAUAUUGGACAAUGGGUGAGAGCCUGAUCCAGCCAUCCCGCGUGAAGGACGACGGACCUAUGGUUUGUAAACUUCUUUUGUGCAAGAAUAAACCCAGAUACGUGUAUUUGGCUGAAGGUAUUGUACGAAUAAGCACCGGCUAACUCCGUGCCAGCAGCCGCGGUAAUACGGAGGGUGCGAGCGUUAUCCGGAUUUAUUGGGUUUAAAGGGUCCGCAGGCGGGCUUGUAAGUCAGUGGUGAAAGCCUACAGCUUAACUGUAGAACUGCCAUUGAUACUGCGAGUCUUGAGUAUAGUUGAGGUAGCUGGAAUGAGUAGUGUAGCGGUGAAAUGCAUAGAUAUUACUCAGAACACCAAUUGCGAAGGCAGGUUACCAAGUUAUAACUGACGCUGAGGGACGAAAGCGUGGGGAGCGAACAGGAUUAGAUACCCUGGUAGUCCACGCCGUAAACGAUGCUAACUCGUUUUUGGAUUUUCGGAUUCAGAGACCAAGCGAAAGUGAUAAGUUAGCCACCUGGGGAGUACGACCGCCAAGGUUGAAACUCAAAGGAAUUGACGGGGGCCCGCACAAGCGGUGGAUCAUGUGGUUUAAUUCGAUGAUACGCGAGGAACCUUACCAAGGCUUAAAUGGGAAUUGACAGGUUUAGAAAUAGAUCUUUCUUCGGACAAUUUUCAAGGUGCUGCAUGGUUGUCGUCAGCUCGUGCCGUGAGGUGUUAGGUUAAGUCCUGCAACGAGCGCAACCCCUGUCACUAGUUGCCAUCAUUCAGUUGGGGACUCUAGUGAGACUGCCUACGCAAGUAGAGAGGAAGGUGGGGAUGACGUCAAAUCAUCACGGCCCUUACGCCUUGGGCCACACACGUGAUACAAUGGCCGGUACAGAGGGCAGCUACACUGCGAAGUGAUGCAAAUCUCGAAAGCCGGUCUCAGUUCGGAUUGGAGUCUGCAACUCGACUCUAUGAAGCUGGAAUCGCUAGUAAUCGCGCAUCAGCCAUGGCGCGGUGAAUACGUUCCCGGGCCUUGUACACACCGCCCGUCAAA
rnacentral:rRNA from 1 species